rnacentral:rRNA from 1 species
UGGGGGAUAUUGCGCAAUGGGCGAAAGCCUGACGCAGCGACGCCGCGUGGGUGAUGAAGGCCUUCGGGUCGUAAAGCCCUGUCGAGGGGAAAGAAACGGUUCCGACCCAACACGUCGGGGUCCUGACGGUACCCCUAAAGGAAGCACCGGCUAACUCCGUGCCAGCAGCCGCGGUAAUACGGAGGGUGCAAGCGUUGUUCGGAAUCACUGGGCGUAAAGGGCGUGUAGGCGGUCCGCUAAGUCUGAUGUGAAAGCCCGGGGCUCACCCCCGGAAGUGCAUUGGAAACUGGCGGACUCGAGUCCCGGAGAGGAGGGUGGAAUUCCUGGUGUAGCGGUGAAAUGCGUAGAUAUCAGGAGGAACACCGGUGGCGAAGGCGGCCCUCUGGACGGUGACUGACGCUGAGACGCGAAAGCGUGGGGAGCAAACAGGAUUAGAUACCCCCGUAGUCC